rnacentral:rRNA from 2 species
AAAUUGAAGAGUUUGAUCAUGGCUCAGAUUGAACGCUGGCGGCAGGCCUAACACAUGCAAGUCGAACGGUAGCACAGAGAGCUUGCUCUCGGGUGACGAGUGGCGGACGGGUGAGUAAUGUCUGGGAAACUGCCUGAUGGAGGGGGAUAACUACUGGAAACGGUGGCUAAUACCGCAUAACGUCGCAAGACCAAAGAGGGGGACCUUCGGGCCUCUUGCCAUCAGAUGUGCCCAGAUGGGAUUAGCUAGUUGGUGAGGUAACGGCUCACCAAGGCGACGAUCCCUAGCUGGUCU